UACAGAGGGUGCGAGCGUUAAUCGGAAUUACUGGGCGUAAAGGGCGCGUAGGCGGAUAUGUAUGUGGGAUGUGAAAGCCCCGGGCUUAACCUGGGAAGUGCAUACCAAACUGCAUAUCUGGAGUACAAGAGAGGGUGGCGGAAUUUCCGGUGUAGCGGUGAAAUGCGUAGAGAUCGGAAGGAACGUCAGUGGCGAAGGCGGCCACCUGGCUUGAUACUGACGCUGAGGCGCGAGAGCGUGGGGAGCGAACAGG
rnacentral:rRNA from 1 species